UUCUUAUCGAGAGAGGCGGAGGGAAAGGCCCGAUGAAGCCCAGCAACCGAUUCGACCAGGGUGUUUUCGCGGGUAACCGCGGAGCUUGGCGGAUGUCAUGGUGCUAAUUCCUUCAAAACCGAUGGCUGCAGUGGCAGAUUGGUUUUGGCAGAUGAGAA
rnacentral:ncRNA from 1 species